UACAGAGGUCCCAAGCGUUGUUCGGAUUCACCGGGCGUAAAGGGUGCGUAGGCGGUCGGGUAAGUCUAAUGUGAAAUCUCCGGGCCUAACCCGGAAACUGCAUCGGAUACUAUCCGGCUAGAGGAUUGGAUGGGAGACUGGAAUACUUGGUGUAGCAGUGAAAUGCGUAGAUAUCAAGUGGAACACCAGUGGCGAAGGCGAGUCUCUGGACAAUUCCUGACGCUGAGGCACGAAAGCCAGGGGAGCAAACGGG
rnacentral:rRNA from 1 species